rnacentral:rRNA from 1 species
GACGAACGCUGGCGGCGUGCUUAACACAUGCAAGUCGAACGGAAAGGCCCUGCUUUUGUGGGGUGCUCGAGUGGCGAACGGGUGAGUAACACGUGAGUAACCUGCCCUUGACUUUGGGAUAACUUCAGGGAACUGGGGCUAAUACCGGAUAGGAGCUCCUGCUGCAUGGUGGGGGUUGGAAAGUUUCGGCGGUUGUGGAUGGACUCGCGGCUUAUCAGCUUGUUGGUGGGGUAGUGGCUUACCAAGGCUUUGACGGGUAGCCGGCCUGAGAGGGUGACCGGCCACAUGGGGACUGAGAUACGGCGCAGACUCCUACGGGAGGCAGUAGUGGGGAAUAUUGCACAAUGGGCGGAAGCCUGAUGCAGCAACGCCGCGUGCGGGAUGACGGCCUUCGGGUUGUAAACCGCUUUCGCCUGUGACGAAGCGUGAGUGACGGUAAUGGGUAAAGAAGCACCGGCUAACUACGUG